UAACAAUGAGCAGGGCGAUAACUAAAAGU
rnacentral:piRNA from 1 species